rnacentral:lncRNA from 1 species
AUGAAAUGCUUGAUAAUGUAUGUGAUAUCAACAGAGAAGUAUAUUUUCUGGGUGAUUUAAAUAUUGACUGGCUCUCAUCAACCUGCCCACUCAAGAAAAAACGUCAAACUGUAACCAGUGCCUGCAAUCUGGUCCAGGUUGUCAGUCAAGCUACCAGAAUACUGCCUCUGAAAUAAUUGAAGCAGCUUCUGGAUGGUCGAGGAACAGGGUCAUCUAUUCCACCAAGACCAGCUGGCUCUACUGGGUACGAUCAUGAAGGAUGUUCUCCACCAGCGAGGUUCUCCAUACCUCUGACGGAGGACCUUCUACCACGGGUCAUCACAGUGAGCCAGUCCCCCAGCCUACCCACCCGUCUGUCCGCCCAGGUCAGGGAUUUCCCUGCUGAGAGGACGGGCGUUGGAGUGGGCUACGGCCGUCUAGGAGAGAGGAGUCUAGGAGCUAGGUUCCUAUAAGAGGUUUAUGGCUCUGUUUCAGGCUUUCUUCGACCGUUCUCCAGAUGGCAAAGAGGGAGGUGAGUGACUUUUCCAACACCAGCGGGUGCCCAGACCGCUAAGGAAUGAGCCCUCCCCUUUCUGACUGUGGCAGCCUCCAGCUGGAAUGAGCCAGUGUUCCGCAAUCUAUUCCACAGUGGACUGCGCAAGGAGGUCCAGACAGAGUUUGCAUGUCAGGAUGACAACAUAUCCUUGGACGCUCUCAUCGCAAUGGCCAGCCGUCUAGAUAAUCUUUGGGAGUGCCUGUGUCCACCUUGCCACUUGCCUCCCUCCUUUGGCUGUCCUGAGGCAGAGCCUGAAGCCAUGGAGGUAGGGGCCACACACCUCUCCGCUGCAGAGCGGUGUUGUCGGAGACAGCUGGGGCCCUGUCCAUAUUGCGGCCAGGAGGGGCACCAGCUUCAGUGGUGUGUGUGUGUCCCAACCCUGGGUCCACUAGAGACCUUCUGUCUCCCAGGGUAGGUGUGAGUAUUCAUUAUCAUUGUUUUCUGUUAAACCCUUUCUGGUUUCCAUUUCGCUGGCUGUCCCUCAAGUGUUGUCUCUACAGCUCUAGUGGACCGGUGCUGCUGGGAACUUCAUUGACCAGGCCCUCGCUUCCUCCCUGAACUUAACUUCAUACCUGCUCUCCUCUCCUUUUCCUGUCCAAGCCCUGGAUACGCAACCAUUGGGAUCUGACACAAUUGCACACAUCACAGCACCACUCUCCCUCACCGUGGGACCCAUGCACCAGGAAAGCCUCCCCUUCCUCACCACCGCACCUGUACAUAGUCAUCCUCGGCCUCCUGUGGCUCCAACUUCAUAACCCCACCCUCUCCUGGUCGAGGAUGAGAAUUGCCGCCUGGGGAACAGGAUGCCGGAGGACCCGCUUUCCCACACCCUGUGGUUUCACGUUGGUGGAGGAACCCGCUCCUGCUACCUGCCCUCCAGAGCGCAUCUACAUCCUCACAGGGGUGAGAGAUUGGCUGUUGACCUGGACACACACAUCCCUCACCACUGGACACCCAGGGAUCACCCGCACCAUCAAUCCCUCUCCAAUAAAUACUUCUAUAAAUAGACAAGAGCCUGCAACCAUGGAGAGGCCCCUGCAGUGGACGAGUGGUUCCGACAUAGUGGUUGGUGUGGAACGCCGCCCACGUGAGGCUCAAGCGCGCUGUCCGCAAUAAGGCAGACCGCCACCGCAGUGAGGCUCCCAUGUUACAUCCUGGUGAUCGUGUCUGGCUCUCCACCAGGAACCUCCCGCUCCACCUGCUGGAAGCUGAGCCCCCAGUUUUUGGGGCCUGUCAUGCUAAUGUGUCCCCCUCUGCUUCACAAUGGGAUUCGAUAAACUAUUAGUGUCCAUUGCUAUAUCAACGGUGACUAAUGAUUUGAAAUGUGGUAAUCAUUACAGCCUAAAUGUUAUUUUCAUCAUCGCUAUGCAAACAAGGCUGAUUCCGGAC